UACGUAGGCAGCGAGCGUUGUUCGGAGUUACUGGGCGUAAAGAGUGCGUAGGCGGUUUUCUAAGUUUGGUGUGAAAUCUCCCGGCUCAACUGGGAGGGUGCGCCGAAGACUGGAAGGCUUGAGUAUGGGAGAGGUAAGCGGAAUUCCUGGUGUAGCGGUGAAAUGCGUAGAUAUCGAGAGGAACACCUGCGGCGAAGGCGGGUUGCUGGGCUGAUACUGACGCUGAGGCGCGAAAGCCAGGGGAGCGAACGGG
rnacentral:rRNA from 1 species